rnacentral:rRNA from 1 species
GAUGAACGCUGGCGGCGUGCUUAACACAUGCAAGUCGAGCGGAAAGGCCCUUCGGGGUACUCGAGCGGCGAACGGGUGAGUAACACGUGAGUAACCUGCCCCAGACUUUGGGAUAACCCUCGGAAACGGGGGCUAAUACCGGAUACGACACAGCUUCGCAUGGGGUCUGUGUGGAAAGUUUUUCGGUUUGGGAUGGGCUCGCGGCCUAUCAGCUUGUUGGUGGGGUGAUGGCCUACCAAGGCGACGACGGGUAGCCGGCCUGAGAGGGCGACCGGCCACACUGGGACUGAGACACGGCCCAGACUCCUACGGGAGGCAGCAGUGGGGAAUAUUGCACAAUGGGCGGAAGCCUGAUGCAGCGACGCCGCGUGAGGGAUGACGGCCUUCGGGUUGUAAACCUCUUUCAGCAGGGACGAAGCGUAAGUGACGGUACCUGCAGAAGAAGCGCCGGCCAACUACGUG